rnacentral:misc_RNA from 1 species
AACGCACAUUGCGCCCGCUGGUACUCCGGCGGGCACGCCUGUCCGAGCGUCAUUUCAACCCCUCAAGCCCUCCCUUCCGGGACCGGGCCUGGUGUUGGGGCCCGGCCGCCUCCCCCGGCGGCCGUCCCCGAAAUGCAGUGGCGGUCACGCCGCGAAUCCCUUGCGUAGUAGAAACACCUCGCACCGGAGAGCGACGCGGUCCACGCCGUGAAAACCCCCCAACUUUCAAUGGUUGACCUCGGAUCAGGUGGGAAUACCCGCUGAACUUAA